rnacentral:rRNA from 1 species
GGAGGGGGCGGGUGCCAAACAUUCGCAAGUCGUAACAUGGUAACAAGGUGCUUGCACUUUCCAGUAAGUGGCGAACGGGUGAGUAACACGUGAAUAACCUACCUCAAAGUCUGGGAUAACCAUUGGAAACAGUGACUAAUACCGAGAUAAAACCCAAGUGCACAUGCACUAAGGUUAAAAGCUGCGUUUGCAGCGCUUUAAGAUGGAUUCGCGGUGCAUUAGUUAGUUGGUGAGGUAAAGGCUCACCAAGACGAUGAUGCAUAGCCGAGUUGAGAGACUGACCGGCCACAUUGGGACUGAGACACGGCCCAAACUCCUACGGGAGGCUGCAGUAGGGAAUCUUCCACAAUGGGCGCAAGCCUGAUGGAGCAACGCCGCGUGUGUGAUGAAGGCUUUCGGGUCGUAAAGCACUGUUGUAUGGGAAGAACGGGUUUAAGAGGAAAUGCUUAGACAGUGACGGUACCAUACCAGAAAGGGACGGCUAAAUACGUGCCAGCAGCCGCGGUAAUACGUAUGUCCCGAGCGUUAUCCGGAUUUAUUGGGCGUAAAGCGAGCGCAGACGGUUGCUUAAGUCUGAAGUGAAAGCCCACAGCUCAACUGUGGAAUGGCUUUGGAAACUGGGCAACUUGAGUACAGUAGAGGUAAGUGGAACUCCAUGUGUAGCGGUGGAAUGCGUAGAUAUAUGGAAGAACACCAGUGGCGAAGGCGGCUUACUGGACUGCAACUGACGUUGAGGCUCGAAAGUGUGGGUAGCAAACAGGAUUAGAUACCCUGGUAGUCCACACCGUAAACGAUGGAUACUAGUUGUUAGAGGGUUUCCGCCCUUUAGUGACGAAGCAAACGCAUUAAGUAUCCCGCCUGGGGAGUACGACCGCAAGGUUGAAACUCAAAGGAAUUGACGGGGACCCGCACAAGCGGUGGAGCAUGUGGUUUAAUUCGAAGCAACGCGAAGAACCUUACCAGGUCUUGACAUCCUUUGAAGGUACUAGAGAUAGUACUGUCUUCUUCGGAAGCAAAGUGACAGGUGGUGCAUGGCCGUCGUCAGCUCGUGUCGUGAGAUGUUGGGUUAAGUCCCGCAACGAGCGCAACCCUUUAUGUUUAGUUGCCAGCAUUCAGUUGGGCACUCUAGACAGACUGCCGGUGACAAAACCGGAAGAAAGGCGGGGGACAACCGUCCGGGGCAUCAUGGCCCCUUAUGGACCUGGCGGUACCACCGUGGUUAAUAGGGGGGUAUACACAGAGCACCAAAACCUGUGGAGGGUAGCGAAAUCCUUUAAAGAACCGCCCCUCCCCCCGGAAGGUGGACCGCGACUCCAACUCCAUCUGAAGAGCGAGAAUCUACAAAUAAUAUCGAGAACAACAAAGCCCGCGGUGUUGAAUAAAUUCCCGG